CGGACAGACGAAGCGGCGACUAUAUGCUCCCCCCAAAAAUGUUGGGGGAGUAUAAAAACUCUAUGAAUUAUUGGCUAAAAAGAUCACAAAUUAAAACUGAGUUUCUUUAUUACACUAACAAUCACUGAGCGUUGAUAUAAACUGAGGUAAUCCCAUCUUUAAACAUUUAUUAAUUUAUACCGCAAAAUCAAUAUAUCAAUUUCAAGGCAUAUUUAAUUCAACAUGUACAAAUAAUUUUCUGAAUAUCAGUUGCUUUUUUUGUUAGGUCACAGUGACCUUGACCUUUGACCUAGUGACCCAAAAAUGGAUGUGACAUGUAGAACUCAUCAAGGUGCAUCUACAUAUGAAGUUUCAAUGUUGUAGGUGGAAGCACUUUGACUUUAGAGCCUUUGUUAAAGUUUUAUAUUAGAGGUCACAGUGACCUUGACCUUUGACCUAGUGACCCAAAAAUGGGUGUGGCGUGUAGAACUCAUCAAGGUGCAUCUACCUACGGCGGAUGGUGGACAACGAGCUCGCAAUGACAAUACCUCG